rnacentral:rRNA from 1 species
CAGAAACUACAAAGGAAGUUGACGGGGAGGCACUACAACGGUGGAGCCUGCGGUUUAAUUGGAUCAACGCCGGAAAUCUCACCGGGGCGACAGCAAUAUGAAGGUCAGGCUGAAGACCUUACCCGAUUAGCUGAGAGGUGGUGCAUGGCCGUCGUCAGUUCGUACUGUGAAGCAUCCUGUUAAGUCAGGCAACGAGCGAGACCCACGUCCACAGUUGCCAGCAUACCCUCCGGGGUGAUGGGUACACUGUGGAGACCGCCGCUGCUAAAGCGGAGGAAGGAGUGGGCAACGGUAGGUCAGUAUGCCCCGAAUCUCCCGGGCUACACGCGGGCUACAAUGGUUGGUACAAUGGGCAUCUACCCCGAAAGGGGAAGGAAAUCUCUUAAAGCCAAUCGUAGUUCGGAUUGAGGGCUGCAACUCGCCCUCAUGAAGCUGGAAUCCGUAGUAAUCGCGUUUCAACAGAACGCGGUGAAUACGUCCCUGCUCCUU